CAGCAGCCGCGGUAAUACGUAGGGGGCAAGCGUUGUCCGGAAUUAUUGGGCGUAAAGCGCGCGCAGGCGGCUUACUAAGUCUGGUGUGAAAGCCCACGGCUCAACCGUGGAGGGCCAUUGGAAACUGGUAAGCUUGAGUGCAGGAGAGGAGAGCGGAAUUCCUGGUGUAGCGGUGAAAUGCGUAGAUAUCAGGAGGAACACCCGUGGCGAAGGCGGCUCUCUGGCCUGUAACUGACGCUGAGGCGCGAAAGCGUGGGGAGCAAACAGGAUUAGAUACCCUGGUAGUCCACGCCGUAAACGAUGAGUGCUAAGUGUCGGGGGUGACCAACCCUCGGUGCUGUCGCUAACGCAAUAAGCACUCCGCCUGGGGAGUACGGCCGCAAGGCUGAAACUCAAAGGAA
rnacentral:rRNA from 1 species